rnacentral:misc_RNA from 1 species
AAGUCGUAACAAGGUUUCCGUAGGUGAACCUGCGGAAGGAUCAUUCCCAAAAAGCUUUUAAACAAACUUUUUAACGAUUGUGUGAACAACAACAACCUUUUCUUUUUUUUUUAAUUUUAAUUAACCAAGUGUAACUUUAUAGUUAAUUUCAUUGAUUUGCUUGAGAGAGCAAUCAAGAAAAACCCCAAAAAUUUUCUAAAACAAUAAAAACAAAAAACAAAAAAAACAAAAAAGUACAACUCUUAACAAUGGAUAUCUCGGCUCUUGC